GUGGGGAAUUUUGCGCAAUGGGGGAAACCCUGACGCAGCGACGCCGCGUGGAGGACGAAGGCCUUCGGGUUGUAAACUCCUUUUGCAAGGGAAGAUAGUGACGGUACCUUGCGAAUAAGCCACGGCUAACUCUGUGCCAGCAGCCGCGGUAAGACAGAGGUGGCAAGCGUUAUUCGGAAUUACUGGGCUUAAAGGGCGCGUAGGCGGUAUGGUAAGUCCGAUGUGGAAUCCCGCGGCUUAACCGCGGAAUUGCAUUGGAAACUGUCGUACUUGAGUCAGCGAGGGGAGGGCGGAAUUCCUGGUGUAGCAGUGAAAUGCGUAGAUAUCAGGAGGAAGGCCGGUGGCGAAGGCGGCCCUCUGGCGCUUGACUGACGCUGAGGCGCGAAAGCGUGGGGAGCAAACAGGAUUAGAUACCCGGGUAGUCC
rnacentral:rRNA from 1 species